GAGCGUGACUACUCCUGGUGCUUUAUGCCUCUGUAUAUUGCAUAAGACAGUUUUAUAUACCUAUCGAAUUUUGAAGAACGAUAGAGGAUAUUUCAUGUUUCAGACUGGAUCUAGCUUUAAAGAAAUAUACUUCAAAAGCCUUAUGGAUUUAAUUGCUCACUAUGGAAAGCCAGGACAAGGUCUUGUGACUCAAUUGUGCCAGCCUCUGAAGAAAGUCAAAGCUAAGUUGAGCAAACAAGAGGAUAAUGAUUGUGAAGAAAUUGACGAUUCUGAAUAUGUAGAAGUGCUCCCUUCCUGAAAAUAACUGAACUCAUCCGAUUGA